CCAACGGGAGGCAGCAGUGGGGAAUAUUGCGCAAUGGGCGAAAGCCUGACGCAGCAACGCCGUGUGAGGGAUGAAGGCUUUCGGGUCGUAAACCUCUGUCGGAAGGGAAGAACGGGCAUUGGUCUAAUAGGCCUUUGUUUUGACGGUACCUUUAGAGGAAGCACCGGCUAACUCCGUGCCAGCAGCCGCGGUAAUACGGAGGGUGCAAGCGUUAUUCGGAAUUACUGGGCGUAAAGCGCACGUAGGCCGUUUUGUAAGUCAGGGGUGAAAUCCCACGGCUCAACCGUGGAACUGCCUUUGAAACUGCAGAACUUGAAUCCUGGAGAGGGUGGCGGAAUUCCUGGUGUAGGAGUGAAAGCCGUAGAUAUCAGGAGGAACACCGGUGGCGAAGGCGGCCACCUGGACAGGCAUUGACGCUGAGGUGCGAAAGUGUGGGGAGCAAACA
rnacentral:rRNA from 1 species